rnacentral:rRNA from 1 species
GACGUAGGGUGCAAGCGUUGUCCGGAUUUACUGGGCGUAAAGCGCGCGUAGGCGGCUCGUUAAGUGUGGAGUGAAAUGCCGGGGCUCAACCCCGGAACUGCUUUACAUACUGGCGAGCUUGAGGGAUGCAGAGGUUUGUGGAAUUCCUGGUGUAACGGUGAAAUGUGUUGAUAUCAGGAGGAACACCCAUGGCGAAGGCAGCAACUGGGCAUCAUCUGACGCUGA